AGCGAGGUAGGGUAGUCAGGAUAUCCCGUCGGGCUCAUAACCCGAAGAUCGAUGGUUCAAAUCCAUUCCUCGCUA
rnacentral:tRNA from 1 species